rnacentral:lncRNA from 1 species
UAUACAAUUAAAAAAAAACCUAUUAAGCAUUAUCUUCACUUUUUGCAGAACUUGUUGCUUUUUGAGUUCUUCGUGCAUGAAGUACAGAAAGUGGAACAAAACCUACUCCUACAAUAUGGAGCCAAAUGGCAGUGGUUCCUCCUACAGAGCCACCCACGCACAGCUCUGUGUGAUGUGCUGCACAAAGCAGACACAGGAUGAGAGUUAAAUGAACAGCAGAGCUCACAUUCAAAGAUGGAAACGGGCCUGAAACAGUUUGCCCUUCUGUUCCUCACAGCAGCACUGGCAGCUAGGGUGAUAUCAACUCAACGUGUUGUAUAUCUGACUGAAAAGGAGGCAAAGACAAGAGUGGAGGUUGAAGUUGGUUCUUCUGUGAUUUUUAACUGCAGUUUGAACACAACGAACAUUAAGGAGUGUAACAUUGAGUGGCAUUUUUGCCCCUCUGACAAUAAAAAAGGGGCAUGCAAGAAUAAGUCAUUGAACUGCAACAAGACGAACCACCUGUCCUCUGUUAACGAAACACACAGUGGACGGUACUCGUGCAAAGUCGUAGGAAAGAUUCCCAUACCAUGCAUAAUUCUGAGCACUGAAAGAGAGCUAUAUGUUUCAAAGAGCUCAAUGGAAAACACAACAGUAGUGGCGAGUAUACAAGCUAACUCUACAAACUCUGGCUUGGUGAUUCAAUGGUGGAUGUGGAUCAUUUUGGGAGUGUCGUUAUUUUUGCUGAUCAUCUUGACGGUCGUGUGCUGGUUGAAAAUAAAAAGAUUCCACAGAAGUAAAGCAGAGCCAGUCUACAUCAAUACCAAAAAGAGGCAUCAUUUACCUCAACCAGUGAAGUCCGCAGACAACUUACACCCAGUGGGCUCUUGUCAAAGCCACCACAGCAUCUCCAGCUCUGCACGAAGAAACCACAAAGACAAACAAGCAUGCAAACCCUGAGCAGCUUCUGGACACCACUGCUCACGUUUAGCAGCACAUUGUAACUGCGACACAAUGAAACUGCCAGUGUGAACUCACAGGAUUGACUCAGGCAGGCCAAACAACAACAUGUAACUAAAUACAACCUGCUCAGUAAGAUAAAUAUAAAGAAAAUAAUCAUUUAAUGAUGAUAAGUUAGUUAUAGUGAGAUAACAGGAGCAGUGCAGCAUGUACAACUUAUCAGAUUUAGGAGGGAAUUACUUUUUCCACUUUAGGCCAGGUUUACGUAAAUGUUUUUAAAUGAAUAAAUUAAAAAUAAUUAACA